rnacentral:rRNA from 1 species
AGAGAGAGACAUGCGUGCAUAUCAAUAAGCGGAGGAAAAGAAACUAACUAGGAUUCCCUUAGUAACGGCGAGUGAAGCGGGAAGAGCUCAAAUUUGAAAUCUUCAAGGUUCUACCUUGACGAAUUGUAGUUUAAAGAAGUGUUUUCUGUUGGAGUUUUGGUAAAAGUUCUUUGGAAUAGGACAUCAUAGAGGGUGAGAAUCCCGUAUUUGACCAUUAUUUCAGCUUUGUGAUACACUUUCAAAGAGUCGGAUUGUUUGGGAAUGCAGUCCAAAAUGGGUGGUAAAUUUCAUCUAAAGCUAAAUACUUGGCGAGAGACCGAUAGCGAACAAGUACCGUGAGGGAAAGAUGAAAAGAACUUUGAAAAGAGAGUUAAACAGUACGUGAAAUUGUCAAAAGGGAAGCGUUUGACACCAGUGUUGUUUUCUCGAAAAUCAAUUAAAAAAGGCAGGAUUUUGUGUUGUAUUGACUUUAUCAGCUUUCUGCACUCUUUUCUUGUCUUUUUUAAUGCACUUUUCGUUUAACAAGUCAACAUCAAUUUCUUUUGUUGUAAAAGGGUCAUUGGAAGGUGGCUUUCUUUUCGGAGAAAGUGUUUAUAGCCUUUGGCCUCUGCAAUCGGAGAGAUUGAGGUCUGCAGCGUAGAUCCUUCGGGGUUAGAUACAUUUGUGCUAAGUUAUAGCCUUUCAUAGACAACUUGUUGACUAUGAUCAGUCAUGUAGCUUACUCGCUUAUGCUAAUUUUACCUACGCUUAGGAUGUUGAUGUGAUACUGCGAGCA